rnacentral:rRNA from 1 species
UUGUAAUAAUACAAGGCAGACGGGUUAAUAACGCGUAAUCCUCCCACCUAAGGACGGGAAUAACCUCGGGAAACUGAAAAUAACCCCCUUAAAAACAUUAUGCCUGGAAUGGUUUAUGUUCCAAAUUAUUUAUCCCCGGAAGAAGGGACCGCCGCCUAUUUUCUUGGUGGGGAAGUAAUGGCCCACCAAAAUUAUUACGGGGACGGGCUCUAAGAAGAAUCCCCCGGAAAAGGGUACUGAAACACCCCCCCCCCCCCUAUGGGGCCCAACCGGGAAAAAAAUUUUGGAAUGGGCAAAAGCACCAAGAGGUUAAUCCGAGUGGUUUCUGCAAAAAAAACCUUUUGUCCCUCCUAAAAACAAUGAAAAAUAAGGGGGGGGCAAGUUCUGGUGUCCGCCCCCGCGGAAAAACCACCCCCUCAGGGGGGCAAGAUUAUUUUUGGGCCAAAAACCUCCGUCGCCCGCUUUGGAAUUUUUCGGAUAAAUCUGGACCCUCAAACUACAAGCUGGCGGGAAUACCGCAAAACUAGGGGGGGGGAGAAGAAAACCGUUCUCCGGAAGAAGGGAAAAAAUUCUUUGAUUUAAUGAACACCACCUGGGGAGAAGGGCGUCCAACAAAACACCUCCGAAGGGGAAGGAAAAAAGGUGGGGGAAAAAAACAUAAUAAACCCCCGGGUACCCCCCGCUAAAAAAUAAGAAAACUUAAUGAAGUAUUUGGUUGGCGCCAAAGCAAUGCUGGAAAGAAACCCAUUAUUUUGCCCGCCGGGAACUACCUCCGCCAUUAAGAAACUCAAAAGAAUUGAC